rnacentral:rRNA from 1 species
GACGAACGCUGGCGGCGCGCCUAACACAUGCAAGUCGAACGAGCGAGAGAGAGCUUGCUUUCUCGAGCGAGUGGCGAACGGGUGAGUAACGCGUGAGGAACCUGCCUCAAAGAGGGGGACAACAGUUGGAAACGACUGCUAAUACCGCAUAAGCCCACGUGUCGGCUUCGACCAGAGGGAAAAGGAGCAAUCCGCUUUGAGAUGGCCUCGCUUCCGAUUAGCUAGUUAGUGAGGUAAUGGCCCACCAAGGCCACGAUCGGUAGCCGGACUGAGAGGUUGAACGGCCACAUUGGGAGUGAGACACGGCCCAGACUCCUACGGGAGGCAGCAGUGGGGAAUAUUGCACAAUGGGGGAAACCCUGAUGCAGCGACGCCGCGUGGAGGAAGAAGGUCUGCGGAUUGUAAACUCCUGUUGUUGGGGAAGAUAAUGACGGUACCCAACAAGGAAGUGACGGCUAACUACGUG